rnacentral:rRNA from 1 species
CCUACGGGGGGCUGCAGUCGAGAAUUUUUGGCAAUGGGCGAAAGCCUGACCAAGCGAUGCCGCGUGCGGGAUGAAGGCCUUCGGGUUGUAAACCGCUGUCAGUGGGGAGGAAAGCUUUGUGAAGAGCAAGGCUUGACCUAUCCGCAGAGGAAGUGUGGGCUAAGUUCGUGCCAGCAGCCGCGGUAAGACGAACCACACAAACGUUAUUCGGAAUUACUGGGCUUAAAGGGUGCGUAGGCUGCGCAGUAAGUUGGGUGUGAAAUACCUCGGCUCAACCGAGGAACUGCGCCCAAAACUACUGUGCUUGAGGAAGAUAGAGGUAAGCGGAACUUACGGUGGAGCGGUGAAAUGCGUUGAUAUCGUAAGGAACACCUGUGGCGAAAGCGGCUUACUGGGUCUUUUCUGACGCUGAUGCACGAAAGCUAGGGGAGCAAACGGGAUUAGAUACCCCAGUAGUC